GGAGAGGUGUCAGAGUGGUCGAUCGUACAGCUUUGCUAAAGCUGUGAGGCUUUACCGCCUCCGAGGGUUCGAAUCCCUCCCUCUCCG
rnacentral:tRNA from 1 species